UCGCAUUAUCGCUACUAUAAAUACACAGGCACUCCAAGUUUCGUCUCAAUCUCAAUCCUCACAAACUAAACAAUUAUCAAACACCCAAUACUCUCAAUACCCAGAAAAACUCCAUUUUCUCUUGUUGUGCCAAUGGCUACAAACGGAAUUGCCUCUGUUUUUGAUAGUGAAAAUCACCCCUUUUGCAAUCCUUGUGUGCCUUGCCCACCACAUUGGAAGAAGGCUGCAGAGUCUCUCCAAUGUGCCCAUUUUGAUGAAGUCU
rnacentral:misc_RNA from 1 species